rnacentral:tRNA from 1 species
GGCAAGAUGGCCGAGCGGUUAAGGCGGAAGACUCAAGAUUCGUCUUACCUGUACAACAGGCAGCAUUCUUCUGGGGCAACCCGCGCGAGUUCGAAUCUCGUUCUUGUCA